GGAAGGUCCGGGCGUUAUCCGGAUUUAUUGGGUUUAAAGGGAGCGUAGGCCGGAGAUUAAGCGUGUUGUGAAAUGUAGACGCUCAACGUCUGCACUGCAGCGCGAACUGGUUUCCUUGAGUACGCACAAAGUGGGCGGAAUUCGUGGUGUAGCGGUGAAAUGCUUAGAUAUCACGAAGAACUCCGAUUGCGAAGGCAGCUCACUGGAGCGCAACUGACGCUGAAGCUCGAAAGUGCGGGUAUCGAACAGGAUUAGAUACCCUGGUAGUCCGCACGGUAAACGAUGGAUGCCCGCUGUCGGUCUGAAUAGGUCAGCGGCCAAGCGAAAGCAUUAAGCAUUCCACCUGGGGAGU
rnacentral:rRNA from 1 species